rnacentral:rRNA from 1 species
CCUACGGGGGGCAGCAGUGGGGAAUAUUGGGCAAUGGGCGCAAGCCUGACCCAGCAACGCCGCGUGAAGGAAGAAGGCUUUCGGGUUGUAAACUUCUUUUAUGAGGGACGAAACAAAUGACUGUACCUCAUGAUUACGCAACGGCUAACUACGUGCAAGCAGCCGCGGAAAUACGUCGGUGGCAAGCGUUAGCCGGAUUUACUGGGUGUAAAGGGUGUGUAGGCGGGACUGCAAGUCAGAUGUGAAAAUUUUGGUCUCAACCCAGACCGUGCCUUUGAAAAUGGAGUUCUUGAGUGAUGUAGAGGCAGGCGGAAUUCCGGGUGUAGAGGUGAAAUGCGUAGAUAUACGGAGGAACACCAGUGGCGAAGGCGGCCUGCUGGACAUUAACUGACGCUGAGGCGCGAAAGCGUGGGGAGCAAACAGGAUUAGAUACCCUUGUAGUC